rnacentral:rRNA from 1 species
AACGAACGCUGGCGGCAUGCCUAACACAUGCAAGUCGAACGAGACCUUCGGGUCUAGUGGCGCACGGGUGCGUAACGCGUGGGAAUCUGCCCUUGGGUUCGGAAUAACAGUUGGAAACGACUGCUAAUACCGGAUGAUGACGUAAGUCCAAAGAUUUAUCGCCCAAGGAUGAGCCCGCGUAGGAUUAGCUAGUUGGUGAGGUAAAGGCUCACCAAGGCGACGAUCCUUAGCUGGUCUGAGAGGAUGAUCAGCCACACUGGGACUGAGACACGGCCCAGACUCCUACGGGAGGUAGCAGUGGGGAAUAUUGGACAAUGGGCGAAAGCCUGAUCCAGCAAUGCCGCGUGAGUGAUGAAGGCCUUAGGGUUGUAAAGCUCUUUUACCCGGGAUGAUAAUGACAGUACCGGGAGAAUAAGCUCCGGCUAACUCCGUG